CAAUUUUGGUGGAAAAUUUUUGAUAUUUUGAGCGACAAUAAAAAAAAAAGGUAUUAAUUUUUUUUAUCCUUUUUUCUGUUUAUCAUCUCUCUCUCUCAAAAUAGGGUAUUAAUUUGUCUUACCUCUUGCUCCUCUACCACGCCGAUCGCCCAUCGUCGCCUCUAUUAGUCUUGUCGAUCGUCACCGCCAGUAGUAGCCUUGCCGGUAACCGCCACAUCUUCUUCGCUUGAUGAUUUGCCACAUUGUGCACCAAACCUGUUCGACGAAAGUCCUCUCUGAAAAUUCUUUACUAUCUAUCUAGUUUGGGAGCUUUUUAAAGAUGUAUGUUGUGAAAGGAGAUGGGCGUCAAGAGACUCUACAUUUCGACAAGAUCAUUGCUCGUUUCAAGUAGCUCAAGGGCGUCACCACCAGUUGUUGCAUUCUCUGCAUGUGAUGCAUUUGAUCUAGUAGUCGUCUAAAUGAUAGUAGGAAGAGCUUGCAGGGAUUAUUAAAUUGUCGGCAUAUUCUAGCUUCAGUCUGUUUGAGUGUCGGAAGGUUGUUGCUGGUUCUAAAUCACCUGAAAUUGGAAAUGGUAUUUGUUUUACCUGAGUUCCU